rnacentral:rRNA from 1 species
GACAGAGGGUGCGAGCGUUGUUCGGAAUCACUGGGCGUAAAGCGCACGUAGGCGGCUUUCUAAGUCAGGGGUGAAAUCCUGGAGCUCAACUCCAGAACUGCCUUUGAUACUGGAGAGCUAGAGUCCGGAAGAGGUGAGUGGAACUGCGAGUGUAGAGGUGAAAUUCGUAGAUAUUCGCAAGAACACCAGUGGCGAAGGCGGCUCACUGGUCCGGUACUGACGCUGAGGUGCGAAAGCGUGGGGAGCAAACAGG